rnacentral:lncRNA from 1 species
UGGAAGUGUCAUUUUUUUCCUGGGCUUUGUGUUUUUUAUUCUGGCUGUCGUACUCUUCAUGUAUUGUCACGCCCCGCGACCGCCCGCCUAUUUGACCGGGUUGCGGCGCCGCAACAGAUCGCCGAACGGACAGGGUUUCCCCUGUACCGCGGACAGAGUCUCCCCUGUACAUUCAAGGCUUCGCAAUCAAUACAAUGUACGAAGUUCCAACCAGGAACACAUUUCAAUCAAGACUGCAUAAUGGAAGGUAUCAAACAACAUAAACACAUCCUAUAUUAUUACAUUCAUUCACAUUAGAUUCAUUUUACAUCACAAUUACAUAAUGCAUUCUUUUUAGCUUCCAAAUACAAUCUAGCUUUAUCAAUAUUAUUACAACUUGAUCCUUUUCAUUUUCUUGCAUCCCUAAGUAAGGCCGACUCAGGGUACCGCUAUCUCUGGUCUCGGUGGUAGGGCGCUAACUAUGAUGCUACGCCCUCGCCUCGCGCCGCCACGCCGCUCACGUGCGAACCUGUAAACACCCCAAAAACACGUGGGGUGAGAACCAACUCCAUGGUUCCCAGUAGGUACGGCCACCCAAGAGAAAAGCUCGACCAAUAGGUCCAAGGGAGGCAACUGCAAGUUAGUUCAAUAAACAGAUAAAUAUAUAUCUUGAUUAUGCAACGAAUAAAACCAUGCAUUGCCUCACGAAUGCAAUAAUGCAAUGCUAUAUGCAAAUCAUGCAAUAAUGCAACUAUGCAACCAACUAGUAGUUCAUUCGAUACUACUUUCAAUUCUGCUAACCAUAGCUCAUCCAUUCGAUAUCUAAGGUUUCCUCUAUCUUAGAUUCUUGUCAAUCACCGUUUUAAUCAUAAAGUUCCAUCUAUCUUUACAAGGCUAACCACCCGACUCGGUCUUGAGUCAAUCGUCUGCGGAGUACCGCACUAGAACCAGGCUCGAGGCGAUGGACGUCUCACAUACACCUCAGCCCUAUAUCCUCUCGACUAGGAUACCAAAUCCAUAACUCAUAAUGCAUACUUGUUGUACACUCAUUUGGCUAUAACCCAAUCUUACCGGUUAACCAUGUUAACCCCAAUAACCCACUACCAAAUCCCUUAAUAACGGGGGACUCGAACCUCCCUAGGGACCGUCAACUGGUGGGACUUUACCACGCCCAGUGGUGACCAACUCCGGAGCGCACCGCCCGAGGGGGAGCUACCUCCCUCAAGCCAAGACGUAACGUGAGUAUCGAUCCAAUCCUCAACUUGAGGAUUCAUAGCCACUCGUCACAAUGCCAAUGUCAUGAUAGGUCUCUACCUAUUUAAUCAUGCCACUCUCUAUGUCAACUUGGACCAAUGUCAAUAUAGUUAAACUAUGUUUAACAAUCACUUUCUUGAUGCCAAUCAUGUCUCUAUUGUCAUUGUCACCCUUGUUUACUAAUAUUCAAGUCCAACUCUCACAUUUACACAAUAAUAGGGUCCUAACAUACAUGAAUGACGCCAGAAUAUAUAUGAUCAAUCACCACAAGUGUUUGCUAGGUUCAAGAUGCUAGGUUUAAUGCCACUCGAUCUAAUAUAUAUAUAGAUUGUCCACUAUGUUCCACAACAUGGCAAUAUGUCAUCAAGUAUGUUUUUCUAUUUAACAUAAUCCACAAUAUGUAAAUUCAUAAUAUAUCAUCAUGCACAUAUACCACUAGCAUCACAUGAUUUGUCAACAUACAUAUAGUCAUUAUCCAAAAUAGUCCAUACUUAGCAUCUCAUGCAUUCUUUUAGCAAUUAAUUCAUUAUGCAUUACGUUUAGCAUAUUCUAUAGUAUGUUAACAUGCAUUCUUCUCACAUUCUUAUAUUAUGUCAAUAUGCAUCAAUAUGAAAUCUCAUUUCUUAGACAUAAAGGGCGACCUAGUCGCUUCGGUAAGCACAACCCACCUCAUUUCGCAUUCCGAUUGCUUGUCGACACUUGCAAUCGGCCUCCCGCGGCACUCGGCACCCGAUUUGGCCCGAUCUCUCACGCGACCACCCGAACGGCCUCCAAUUCACGAUCCAAAAAUUAAAGGUCUUCGGUUAUGUGCCACGAUGCUUCAAAUCUAUUUUCAUGAAUUUACGAUAUCGCCUCGGCCCUCCCGGCGGACCCGAAGCCUAAACGUCCAUUUCUUUAAUAACUUUGUAACGGCUCGUCAGAUUGCCGAACCGUCUUCGCCAACGCGUUUCGCUACCUAGCAAUUAAGUUUACGGAGGGUCAAAUUAGAUCAAACCCUCAUAUUUUAUAAAACCCCAUUUUCUAAGCCUAACAUGAAUUAAUCUCCAAAUAAUCCAAACUAAAUAAAGCAAACAUGUUUAGAAUGCUCAUUAGAGGCUAUUAGAAUACUAAGCAUUAAGGAUUAAGCCAAAUCCCAAAAGCUUACCACAAUGUGAACGCCGCGACGACAACACACCGCUCCAACGGCCGCACGAAAGCCCGAUCCGUCGCCUCCAACGCGUUCGCAAGCAGCUUCUCCACCAACCCUCCAAUUUUUAGAGAGAGAUUUAGAGAGAUAAGAGAGAUCUCUAUAGAGAGAAGGGAGGGUUUCCCUCCCCCUCCAUGCGUGUGUGUGUGUGGGGGGUGUGUGCGGCUGAAGGAGAAGAAGAGGAGUCAACACUCCUCUUUAGUCAACGCCACAACACUAUUCACUCCCGGGCAGCUUGAAAUCUGAUAACUUUCGCCGGAGCUCCCUGAAUGUCCGUUUGAGCUCAAACUUGACAGUCAUGUUCGGUU